CCUACGGGAGGCAGCAGUGAGGAAUAUUGGUCAAUGGGCGCGAGCCUGAACCAGCCAAGUCGCGUGAAGGAUGAAUGCCCUACGGGUUGUAAACUUCUUUUAUAAAGGAAUAAAGUGUGGCACGCGUGCCUUUUUGUAUGUACUUUAUGAACAAGCAUCGGCUAACUCCGUGCCAGCAGCCGCGGUAAUACGGAGGAUCCGAGCGUUAUCCGGAUUUAUUGGGUUUAAAGGGAGCGUAGAUGGGUUGUUAAGUCAGUUGUGAAAGUUUGCGGCUCAACCGUAAAAUUGCAAUUGAGACUGGCAGCCUUGAGUACAGGUGAGGUAGGCGGAAUUCGUGGUGUAGCGGUGAAAUGCUUAGAUAUCACGAAGAACUCCGAUUGCGAAGGCAGCUUACUAAACUGCCACUGACAUUGAUGCUCGAAAGUGUGGGUAUCAAACAGGAUUAGAUACCCUAGUAGUC
rnacentral:rRNA from 1 species